GCAGGUUAAUAUUCCUGCACCGGCUGAAGUUAAGACAGUCAGUGACGCAGAGAGAAAAGCGGUUACGUCAUCGAAAGACAGAGCCUAGGCUUCGGCCAAAGCGCACCGCCGGACAAUCUGCCGAGAAAAGCGGACUGUUGUUCCUUCAGUUGCCCGUACCGUAAACCGACACAGGUGGGUGAGUGUAAAUGCACUCAGGCGCGCGAGAGAAACCUCUCUAAGGAACCCGGCACAUUAGCCCCGUAACUUCGGGAAAAGGGGUGCCUGCGGUUAUUGCAGUAAUGUAGUAAUCAAAGGUCUCAGUAAAUUGCGCUUAGCGACUGUUUAACAAAAACACAGCUCUCUGCAAAGUCGUCAAGACGACGUAUAGGGAGUGACACGUGACCAAUGCGGAAAGAUCAAAGCAUCCUGUCAGCCGUAAGGCGAAGCUCGGUGCUCAAGUCCCCGUGAAUGUCGGCCGUAACUAUAACGGUCCUAAGGUAGCGAAAUUCCUUGUCGGGUAAGUUCCGACCUGCACGAAUCGUGUAACGACUGAGCGACUGUCUCGGAGAGGAUCUCGGCGAAACUGUAAUUGCGGUGAAGAUGCCGCAUGCCCGCAGUAGGACGGAAAGACCCUAUGCACCUUUACUGUAAGCUGGUAUUGUGUUCUGGUUAUUGAUGCGUAGCGUAGGUGGGAGACUUCGAAGCAGGAGCCUCGGUUCCUGUGGAGUUGAAAUGUGAAACACCACUCUUUGGUAAUUAGGAUUCUAACCCCAACCUGUUAGCCAGGUGGGGGACAGUGCCUGCAGGUCAGUUUGACUGGGGCGGUUUCCUCCCAAAUUGUAACGGAGGAGCGCGAAGCUCGGCUCAGCACGGUUGGCAACCGUGUGUUGAGGGUAUGGCUACAAGCCGGGUUGACUGCGAGACCAACAAGUCGAGCAGGUGCGAAAGCAGGCCCAAAUGAUCCGAUGGUUGAAUGUGGAAUUGCCAUCGCUCAACGGACAAAAGGUACGCUAGGGAUAACAGGCUGAUCGCGUCCAAGAGUUCAUAUCGACGACGCGGUUUGGCACCUCGAUGUCGGCUCAUCGCAUCCUGGGGCUGGAGAAGGUCCCAAGGGUCCGGCUGUUCGCCGGUUAAAGCGGUACGCGAGCUGGGUUCAGAACGUCGUGAGACAGUUCGGUCCUUAUCCACUGUGGGCGGAGGAAACUUGAGGGGUUCCAACCUUAGUACGAGAGGACCGGGUUGGACGCACUUCUGGUGUGGCAGUUGUUCCGUCAGGGGCAUCGCUGCGUAGCCAUGUGCGGAAGAGAUAAGCGCUGAAAGCAUCUAAGUGCCAAGCUCAUCCCAAGAUAAGGUUUCCCGGACGCAAGUCCCUGAAGAGUCCACGCAGACUACGUGGUUGACAGGUUGGGCGUGCAAGUGCCGCAAGGC
rnacentral:rRNA from 1 species